CGAAAACGGGUCUAAGCUUGCUUAGAUUGUCAGCUAAGUGGCGCACGGGUGAGUAAUAUAUAGGUAACAUGCCUUCGAGAAGGGGAUAACGUUUGGAAACGAACGCUAAUACCCUAUAUGCCUUUAAGUCUUAAGACUGCAAGGGAAAUAUUUAUAGCUCGAAGAUUGGCCUGUACAGUAUCAGCUAGUUGGUGAGGUAAUGGCUCACCAAGGCAAUGACGCUUAACUGGUUUGAGAGGAUGAUCAGUCACACUGGAACUGAGACACGGUCCAGACUCCUACGGGAGGCAGCAGUGGGGAAUAUUGCACAAUGGACGAAAGUCUGAUGCAGCAACGCCGCGUGGAGGAUGACACAUUUCGGUGCGUAAACUCCUUUUAUAUAGGAAGAUAAUGACGGUACUAUAUGAAUAAGCACCGGCUAACUCCGUGCCAGCAGCCGCGGUAAUACGGAGGGUGCAAGCGUUACUCGGAAUCACUGGGCGUAAAGAGAAUGUAGGCGGGUAGAUAAGUUUGAAGUGAAAUCCAAUGGCUCAACCAUUGAACUGCUUUGAAAACUGUUUACCUAGAAUAUGGGAGAGGUAGAUGGAAUUUCUGGUGUAGGGGUAAAAUCCGUAGAGAUCAGAAGGAAUACCGAUUGCGAAGGCGAUCUACUGGAACAUUAUUGACGCUGA
rnacentral:rRNA from 1 species